rnacentral:rRNA from 1 species
CAGCAGCCACGGGAAUACGAAGGGUGCAAGCGUUACUCGGAAUUACUGGGCGUAAAGCGUGCGUAGGUGGUGGUUUAAGUCCGUUGUGAAAGCCCUGGGCUCAACCUGGGAAUUGCAGUGGAUACUGGGUCACUAGAGUGUGGUAGAGGAUGGUGGAAUUCCCGGUGUAGCGGUGAAAUGCGUAGAGAUCGGGAGGAACAUCAGUGGCGAAGGCGGCCAUCUGGGACAACACUGACGCUGAGGCACGAAAGCGUGGGGAGCAAACAGGAUUAGAUACCCGCGUAGUCCCUGUCUCUUAUAA